GUCCCCAUGGUCUAGCGGUUAGGACACCACCCUUUCAAGGUGGGAGCGGCGAGUUCGAUUCUCCUGGGGGACACCA
rnacentral:tRNA from 1 species